CCUCCCGCCAUAAGACUGUGCCGUCUUGGUGACCUUGAGAAUAUCAUAAGGUCCGAUAUAUAAAAGCACUAUCCAAUAUCGAGACCCACUCAGGAUCCCAAACCACGACUCCUUUCGGUCGUCUGUACUUGCUUUUUUCCUCCCAGCAUGGACUAAGUCAAUGAUACUGUCUUACAUCGCUGGCCUUGUUCUUAUAAGUGUUCACUCGGCGCUCACAAGAUAACAUGUUCAGAGAUCUGUUGCAGAACCUUGUCGUGCCGUCAUUUAUAUACUCCUUGACUAAGAGCUACUUUACACCUACAGCAAAAAUGUGCUAAAUGAUACCCAUCCUCUCCUCACAUUACUGUACUUGCACUUACCAUCCUCAUCUUCGCCAUAGAGGUGGUUAAGAGGGUGACGUACACAGCAUCUAGCACGAAUCCAAUAAGCAGCUAUCAAGUCUCAAGAUAUGACAUAAUUUGAUAGAAUGUUAGUACCAACGCUAUCAGUGCAUUGAAGUCGAGUUCUCGAUACAGGGAGCUGCUGGUAAACUACCGUCGCUAUACAUCGACUAUGACUACAAUCCUACUUUUAAAAACAAACUACAUACAUAUCUCACAUUUGCGAGGACUACUUCAUCACAAGCAAAAAAUCGACAUUGGUAAAUAAAGGUCUGUCUUCUAUAACCACGAUGAAAAGAAAAGCUGGGCGAAAACAUUUGAGACUGCAGAUUGCAGAACUGGAACACUCUAUUUGAAGACAGUGGCUGCUGAGUGCUGAGCUGCAUCAAAUCUAUCAGCAUCAUGUAACUUCGAUCAGGAACAGACUCCAUU